AUGACUUGUGAUCAAAGACUAUGUGGAUAUGUGAGAAAGAGCUCUCCAAGAAGAUGGAACAACAAGGACCAAGAUCCUGAAUUUUCCCCAGCUUUGGGUGGUGGCUGCUGCUGGGCUCCGGCUUCCCAACGGCGGAGGGCAAGGCGGCGUGGACAGCGGCCCCGGCACCCCUCGCCCCGCCGCCCGCAGCCGCGCGCCCGCCCGCCCGCCGCGCCCCGAGCUCUCCGCUCUUCGCCUCAGUGCCCGGCUGCCGCCGCUGCGGCCCAGAAAGCAGCCCAGAUGCAGGCCAUCAAGUGUGCGGUGGUGGGAGACGGAGCUGUAGGUAAAACUUGCCUCCUGAUCAGUUAUACGACCAAUGCCUUUCCUGGAGAGUAUAUCCCCACUGUCUUUGACAACUAUUCUGCCAAUGUUAUGGUGGAUGGAAAACCGGUGAAUCUGGGCUUGUGGGAUACAGCUGGACAAGAAGAUUAUGACCGAUUACGUCCCCUAUCCUAUCCGCAAACGGAUGUAUUCUUGAUUUGCUUUUCUCUUGUGAGUCCUGCAUCAUUUGAAAAUGUUCAUGCAAAGUGGUACCCUGAAAUGCGACACCACUGUCCCAACACUCCUAUCAUUCUGGUGGGGACGAAACUUGAUCUGAGGGAUGAUAAAGACACGACUGAGAAACUGAAGGAGAAGAAGCUGACACCCAUCACCUACCCGCAGGGCUUGGCCAUGGCCAAGGAGAUCGGUGCCGUCAAAUACCUGGAGUGCUCGGCACUCACGCAGCGAGGUCUUAAGACGGUGUUUGAUGAAGCUAUCCGGGCGGUUCUCUGCCCGCCCCCCGUCAAGAAGAGGAAGAGAAAAUGCCUGCUGUUGUGAAUGUCCGGGCCCCUCCCGCCUGUCCCCGUCCCCCAGGACCCUUUGUACGCUUUGCUCAAACGGUGGAGCCUUCGCACUCAAUGCCAAGUUUUUGUUACAGAUUAGUUUUUCCAUAAAACCGUUUUGAACCAAUCA